rnacentral:rRNA from 1 species
UACGUAGGUGGCAAGCGUUGUCCGGAAUUAUUGGGCGUAAAGCGCGCGCAGGCGGUCCCUUAAGUCUGAUGUGAAAGCCCACGGCUCAACCGUGGAGGGUCAUUGGAAACUGGGGGACUUGAGUACAGAAGAGGAAAGCGGAAUUCCACGUGUAGCGGUGAAAUGCGUAGAGAUGUGGAGGAACACCAGCGGCGAAGGCGGCUUUCUGGUCUGUAACUGACGCUGAAGCACGAAAGCGUGGGGAGCAAACAGG